GUGUCAUGACCUAAGUUGUGUAUUAAUUGGCAAUACUAUGAUUUAUAAAUUAUUUUGAUAAAAUGGUAUUGUAAAAGUUGAUAUCAACUUCAUGAAGUGUGAUUGUGAAAGGAUUCAAAAAUGUGUUUAUCGAUGUAUGCUUUUUAUGUUCAGCUAUUUUUAAAAUUUUAUUGUGUACCACUGAGUGUUUGCUCAACGAUGGCUUUUUAUUACUUUCGCAGUAGAGAAAAGGAUAAAGCAACA
rnacentral:misc_RNA from 1 species